rnacentral:ncRNA from 1 species
UUAAUUCGAUGCAAAGCAAAGAACCUUACUAGGGUUUGACAUGUCGUGAAUCCUCUUGAAAGAGAGGGAUGCCUUCGAGAAUGCGGACACAGGUGAUGCAUGGUUGUCGUCAGCUCGUGUCGUAAGGUGUUGGGUUAAGUUAUGAAUAACUUUUAACCACAAACAAAUGUCCCUAGCUAAAGGUU